rnacentral:rRNA from 1 species
CCUACGGGGGGCAGCAGUAGGGAAUCUUCCACAAUGGGCGAAAGCCUGAUGGAGCAACGCCGCGUGGGUGAAGAAGGUCUUCGGAUCGUAAAACCCUGUUGUUAGAGAAGAAAGUGCGUGAGAGUAACUGUUCACGUUUCGACGGUAUCUAACCAGAAAGCCACGGCUAACUACGUGCCAGCAGCCGCGGUAAUACGAAGGUGGCAAGCGUUAUCCGGAUUUAUUGGGCGUAAAGGGAACGCAGGCGGUCUUUUAAGUCUGAUGUGAAAGCCGUGGGCUUAACCGGAGUAGUGCAUUGGAAACUGGGAGACUGGAGUGCAGAAGAGGAGAGUGGAACUCCAUGUGUAGCGGUGAAAUGCGUAGAUAUAUGGAAGAACACCAGUGGCGAAAGCGGCUCUCUGGUCUGUAACUGACGCUGAGGUUCGAAAGCGUGGGUAGCAAACAGGAUUAGAUACCCUAGUAGUC